rnacentral:tRNA from 1 species
AGCAUCUGUAGCAGGCGAUUUUUUACCGCAUUGGCGCUCAGGGCAUUAAGGUCAUUACCGGGAGCGAGCAUUUCGCUCUGGUUACUGCC